CAUGCAGCAGACAUUCUCCUCCUUGACACUAGGUGGGUAGGAGCAGGAGGACAGCGGCCUGCCAACAGGUUGUUCCAGGCGAUAGGCGGCUUUGGGGUCGCCCCAGGAGUCCAGCUGCGAGAGACCAAUGGGAUUUGAAAAUGGCCUUGAUGAUUCAGACGGCCGUGACGUCAGCGGGGUCAAGUUGUCGGCAGGCGGAGCGCGCAUCGUGGAGUAACAGCGCCACCUAGCAGCUGCCUCGGGGGAAGAUUCCCGGAGAGAAAGAGGAAACCCGCCGAACUUGGCUAGUUUGGAGGAGUCACGUAUCACACGGGAGACCAGGACGCAAGACGUAACAAAAUCCGACCCAGAGAAGUGUUCUUUACAGAGCGAAUGGGCUAGGAGCAUUUUUGAAAGAAGAAAGACCAGUCUGUUUUUGUUGUUUUUUAAUAAAGAGAAGAAAUCAAGGGAAAUGUAUGUUCGUAAUAGUUCUUUCCGUUUCUCCAUCGCCUUUCUUCCAAAGCGAACUAAACUCUCCACCCCUUCCUCAGGAAACGGAAUCCGGAGAAAAACU